UCUGUUCCAAUCCAAAAUGCCAAAUUCUUACAACCAUCACCAAAAUCAAACCCAAGGAUUACUCAUUCAUACUCAAUAUUUCAUCAUUUAAUUCUCUCUAAUACAAUCUACCAGGUUUCCAAAAAACACUUCAACUAAGUAGUAAGAACAAUUAAACAGUUAUGAUUAUGCAAAAGAACCAUCUAGGGUAUUGCCAAUGCAAUCAUUAGCCGACACAAUAGUAGAACAUGUACCUACGUUCUGCAUAUGAAGAUUAUUGUCGCAUGGUAUAUCUCCUUUGCCACAUGAUGUCAAGCUUUCAAGUGCAAUAACUUGAUGAUUAGCAUACUCAGUUUUGAAGAACUUGCAGAGAUGAAGAGAGAAAGUACUACUACUGAUUCAAACAAGGGUACAUGAUUUUGUAGCAGAAGAGGACCACAAAAGAAAGUGGCUCUUCCAGAACAUUAUUCAUACGAAAUGAACAUGAUUCGUUUCGAUUCCAAAGGUCAGUGCCAAAUUCAUCUUCACCAAUUUGAAUGCACUGAUAUUUGUGCUUGUCGGUAGUCUCACAAGAAGCUGGUGUGGUUAUCCAAUUUA